CCUACUGUGUGCACCAGUGAGGAAUAUUGGACAAUGGUCGGAAGACUGAUCCAGCCAUGCCGCGUGCAGGAAGACUGCCCUAUGGGUUGUAAACUGCUUUUAUACGGGAAGAAACCACCCCUCGUGAGGGGAGCUGACGGUACCGUAAGAAUAAGCAUCGGCUAACUCCGUGCCAGCAGCCGCGGUAAUACGGAGGAUGCAAGCGUUAUCCGGAAUCAUUGGGUUUAAAGGGUCCGUAAGUGGAUAAUUAAGUCAGGGGUGAAAUCUUGCAGCUCAACUGUAAAAUUGCCUUUGAUACUGGUUAUCUUGAGUCGUUAUGAAGUGGUUGGAAUAUGUAGUGUAGCGGUGAAAUGCAUAGAUAUUACAUAGAACACCUAUUGCGAAGGCAGAUCACUAAUAACGUACUGACACUGAUGGACGAAAGCGUGGGGAGCGAACAGGAUU
rnacentral:rRNA from 1 species